CCCCAAAAAAAAUAUUUUAGUUGUUAUAAUAAUGUAUCAUCUAACCUAUACUAAAAGGAGAAUAAGCUCAAAGCUCAGCCUAUCCACGUCACCUAAGAAAAUUAACCAAUCAUAAGACUCUAUUUUGACACAUCACCUUGGCUAAAAUAGAGUGGAGUUUCGUAUGGGCUUUAUUAUAUUAUCGGUCGACCCAUUUGAGCACAUGCCCAAAAAUCUGUUUCGUCGUCGUCUUCAAGCGUCAAGAGUCUCUCCCCCGACUCUUCCACUUCAUCUUCUCCAAUGUCUGGGUUUUUUUUUCCAUUACCUUCUCAAUCAAUGAGGAUGUUAAAGCUAUUCUCCAACGUUUUGUUCCACCUACCUUUGAUACUUCUCCUAUAUAAAGCUCUACCUCUAACCUAAAUCCAUCCAGAAUCAAAAACCCUACUCUGCAGAAACUAAAUUGCAAUGAAAUCCACAACGAAGUCUCAGCUUACCACCGGCAUAUCUCCCGUCGCCGUCUAUUUCAACGACAUCUCACCAAGACCAGAUGAGUCACAGCUUCGGUUUCAGAAUAAAGUCGGCCAGGUAUGUGAUACUUAGCCACCUUGAGCACGUACACAUAUGUGUCUCACAAUGGAGAGAAAGUUGCUGUGAAAAUACAAAGAUCUGGACUAAAGUUUUCGAUAUAGAUCUAUGAAAUUUGAUGUUGCUUGAUGAAUAUUUCUGGAAAAGUGAUCCAUUUGCCCCAAACGCCCCGGAUGGUAUUUACGAAAAAUGUGCCAUGUAAGUCUUUUUAACAUAAAGUAGUUAUAACUCUGGCUCUAAAACAUGUGGCGCUGAUAUAUCAAGAGUAAUGCUAAAGUGUCAAACUUAUAAUGGUUUCAAACUUAUUUUAUGGUUUGGCUGUUUUAGAUACUCCAAACCGCCUACUUUCAUGAUGUUUAAGUCAAUUUCAAUAAUCUUGAUAAUCAAGACAAAGCUUAACCACUGCUUGAAAAAAUAUUUACAAUCCAUUAUUUGUUCAAUUAGAUAUUUAAUCAUAAAUAAGAGACUAAAUCAUGUUAUUAUGUAUACACUAUAUAUUGUUCUCUGUUUGUAGCUUGCAGAUAACCAAAGUUAUGAGUCAUGAAACUUUUUUAAAGGACAGGUGGUGCGCUCUGGGAAUCACAGCAAGGAUCCUCAGUACCACAGUCUGGAUCACUUCUUUGACAGGUUCUAACAUGAUCAUGCCACUUUGGUUACACAUUGGGUCUUUUGAUUUUGAAAGUAUUUGAAUUUAUAUUAGUUCUGUGUUUUGAUAUAAGCCAGCCUCUAAAUGUAGACCCCAAAAACAUUUCUGAUAGUUUACAGCGUCUACAUUUAGAUCCGACAUGGGUUGUUGGUUCGAUGAGGCUAAAUAGUUAUAUUUACAUGAAGUUCAUGGUCGGCUUCAGUGCAAAUGCAAAGGCAGCGAAUGUAUAUAAGAAGAAAGCUGAAAGUCCUACGAAAACAUGGAUACAACAUGGUAUAGUUACUGCUCUGUUUUGAGAGAGUGGAAGCUGUAAAUCAUCAGUAACUGUGGCAGAGGUUUAACGAUCCCAAUCAGGACAGACACUCUUCGCAGAGUUGAUAUUAAAGCCAUCAGUUGAAAAGGGUAAGGCAGCAAAGCAGGCUGGUAAGCCAAAAAUAAGUUUUGUACAGUGUAAAUAAACAGAGCAAACAUUGCUAACGGAAAAGGAGGAGAAGCCAGUGAAACCAGUAUCAUCUAUGUAACUGAGCUACCUAACGCUCAUGGCUUCAUUAGUGGACUGCAACAGGCCUAUGAUACAAUGGUGGGUGAAAGAGGACUUCAGUUAUCAGGCAGAAAAUAGUAGAGAGUGGUAGCCAUAGCAAUUUUUAAAGAUCCUAUGGUGUGGGCCGUGUGGUUUAGGGAUGAAGCAACAAUUACUGUUGAUAUUUAGUCAGAGUCUGGGGUUCAUGAGUUAAUUGCAUAGGUUAGAAAGAAAAGCAAGCCACUGAUCCCAAUAUAUGAGGGUCUCUAUGUUUCUUUAGUACAACUUCAUUUGACUGCUUCUGCGAAAACAUUUUUUAAGGGAUUACCUACCAUUUGAGCAAA